rnacentral:rRNA from 1 species
UACGAAGGGGGCAAGCGUUGUUCGGAAUUACUGGGCGUAAAGCGAGUGUAGGCGGUUUGGUAAGUCGGAUGUGAAAGCCCCGGGCUCAACCCGGGAAGUGCACUCGAUACUGCCAAGCUAGAGUAUCGGAGAGGUUGGUGGAAUUCCCAGUGUAGCGGUGAAAUGCGUAGAUAUUGGGAGGAACACCAGUGGCGAAGGCGGUCCCCUGGGCCGGAACUGACGCUGAGGCGCGAAAAGCGUGGGUAGCAAACGGG